UCUCAAGCUAAACACUGAAAUUCUAUGGG
rnacentral:piRNA from 1 species